GGCGGUGAUUUAGCUAAUCAGAGGAACUUGUUUUAUAAUCGAUAACCCCCGCUCUAACUAACUUAAAUUAGCAAUCAGCUUGUAUACCGCCGUCGUAAGGAGAUUUUUUAAAAAUAUCUUCGAGAAUUUUAAAAUAUAUGUCAGGUCAAGGUGCAGUCUAUGUUUCAGUAAAAAUGAGUUACAAUAGUUGAAAUUACACGAAUGACAUAUUGUAAAAUGGGAUGAAGGUGGAUU
rnacentral:rRNA from 1 species